rnacentral:rRNA from 1 species
AUUGAACGCUGGCGGCAGGCUUAACACAUGCAAGUCGAACGGUAACAGAAAGAAAGCUUGCUUUCUUUGCUGACGAGUGGCGGACGGGUGAGUAAUGCUUGGGAAUCUGCCUUAUGGAGGGGGAUAACUACGGGAAACUGUAGCUAAUACCGCGUAAUAUCUACGGAUUAAAGUAUGGGAUCUUCGGACCAUAUGCCAUAAGAUGAGCCCAAGUGAGAUUAGGUAGUUGGUGAGGUAAAGGCUCACCAAGCUGACGAUCUCUAGCUGGUUUGAGAGGAUGACCAGCCACACUGGAACUGAGACACGGUCCAGACUCCUACGGGAGGCAGCAGUGGGGAAUAUUGCACAAUGGGCGCAAGCCUGAUGCAGCCAUGCCGCGUGAAUGAAGAAGGCUUUCGGGUUGUAAAGUUCUUUCAGCGAUGAGGAAGGUGCUAUAUCUAAUAGGUGUAGCAAUUGACGUUAGUCGCAGAAGAAGCACCGGCUAACUCCGUGCCAGCAGCCGCGGUAAUACGGAGGGUGCGAGCGUUAAUCGGAAUAACUGGGCGUAAAGGGCACGCAGGCGGUUGUCUAAGUCAGAUGUGAAAGCCCCGAGCUUAACUUGGGAAUUGCAUUUGAGACUGGGCGACUAGAGUCCUCUAGGGAGGGGUAGAAUUCCACGUGUAGCGGUGAAAUGCGUAGAGAUGUGGAGGAAUACCGAAGGCGAAGGCAGCCCCUUGGAGAGAGACUGACGCUGAGGUGCGAAAGCGUGGGUAGCAAACAGG